rnacentral:rRNA from 1 species
GCUUGCGGCAGGCUUAACACAUGCAAGUCGAGGGGCAGCAUUAUCUGCUUGCAGAUAGAUGGCGACCGGCGCACGGGUGCGUAACGCGUAUGCAACUUACCCUAUACAGGAGAAUAGCCCGGAGAAAUUCGGAUUAAUGCUCCAUAGUAUUGUUUUAUUGCAUGAUAGAACAAUUAAAGAUUUAUCGGUAUAGGAUGGGCAUGCGUUAGAUUAGUUAGUUGGAGAGGUAACGGCUCACCAAGACUACGAUCUAUAGGGGGCCUGAGAGGGUGAUCCCCCACACUGGUACUGAGACACGGACCAGACUCCUACGGGGGGCAGCAGUGAGGAAUAUUGGUCAAUGGAGGCAACUCUGAACCAGCCAUGCCGCGUGAAGGAAGAAGGCGUUCUGCGUUGUAAACUUCUUUUAUUUGGGAAGAAACCCCUGCUCGUGAAGCAGGGCUGACGGUACCAAACGAAUAAGCACCGGCUAACUCCGUGCCAGCAGCCGCGGUAAUACGGAGGGUGCAAGCGUUAUCCGGAAUCAUUUGGGUUUAAAGGGUCCGCAGGCGGUAUCAUAAGUCAGUGGUGAAAGCCUACAGCUUAACUUGUGAACUGCCAUUGAUACUGUGUACUUGAGUUCGUCCAAGUUGCGGAUAUGUAUGUACCGUGAAAUGCUA